rnacentral:lncRNA from 1 species
AUUUGAAAAUUAUGGCGCCGACAUGGUAGAUGUCCUAGAAAAAACUGGUAGUAACUCAAUGUAGAUACACAUAGUCGAUGGAGUUACUUGCUAAUAACUGGCAAUGAGACAUAUUUGCUUCAAAUGAUGCCUUUAAAGUUUGAAAAGAUUUUUUCUAAUUCAAAUGUCGACUUUUUGUUACAUGAAAAAAGAUACUUAUUUCAACCCCUCGACUAUAUUGAUACACUUAGUAUGUGGAGUUACUUGUCAAUAGCU